AUUUGUAUAUUGUUGAGUGUAAUUAUGUAUAACAGAUGUUUAAAUUGUGUUGUGUUAAUGUGAUGUUUUAAGUUGAGUGUAAUUAUGUAUAACAGAUGUUUAAAUUGUGUUGUGUUAAUUUGAUGUUAUUGUAAAUUGGUAUAUGUCUCAUCACUGUCACGACUGCUAUGUUGAUCGGAACUGCACCCAAGAAUUUCACACACCAUUGCACUUGUGUAUAUGGCUGUGUGACAAUAAAGUGAUUUGAUUUGAUAUGAUUUGAACUGCCGGGCUUAUCUAAACAGCUGUCUGAACGUGAUUCUCUAUGUGUUCAGGUGCACAGCAAAGCUGCCGGUGUUAAAAUCCCGGUGUUAAGUGAUUUUUAGAGUAAAGAGAUGAUAUUUUGUAGUUAAACUUCAAAGAAUGAUGCCAUUUAGUGUAAACAUUGCCCUGUGUCUAUUGUGAAAUUAUGGAGAGUUAAUUGAAAUUAACUCUCGCAGUGUAACUGGAUACAUUUAUGCGCUGUGUGCCGAAACUUUCUUGACAAGCACCAUUUUCUUCUGGUCUCAGCUUCGAGCAGGUAACGGAACAGGCGAUUUUAUCGACAGGACAAAUAGUAAAGUAAGUGGUUUUGAAUUUAAAUUAUGUUUUGUUUAUAACAUUAGUUGUUUUACUUAGAAUUAAACAAUAAUUGCCUUCAGAGCUCAUCCGAGUUUGUUAAAAUUAAUGUAGGUGUGCUUGUUGUCUUAGUUCACAGGAUAGUCAUUUCAACAGUUGAUUUAUCUAGACCACAAAACCAAAAAGAGCAAGAGUAAGUUGUAAAUGUGUUUGUUUCUCCUUCCCUACUUUAAGAGUUCAGUAAGAGGUCAAAAUGAUCAUCAAAGCACAAUUUCGAAAUCAGAAGUAUAUAAAAAUGACUUUAUAAGAGUGACUUUCUUCAUCAUCAGUGUUAUUUAAUUCACCCGUCAUUUAAAAUUACAGGUUUAUAUUCCUCUAUCUUUGUGUUGAUAAAGCAAAACUAUUUUGGAAAAGAAUGUUUUAUGGUAUAAAUGGUAUUGUCUUCCACAUCUUUUAUUGCAAAUUAUUACUUCUAAAUUAGACUUGUGUUAAUUAAAAUGAUCUGUAGAUUAUAAAAUUAAUUUUAACACCACUUUAAACAUUUAAAGGUCCGUCCACACCUCAAUCUUCAGUCAGUUUUACAGAUACACUGUCCAUAACUUCAAGAAGCAGUGAUGACAGUGACUUGCUUAGUCCAAAAAGAGUCAGAAGAGAGGAUGAGGCUUCACAAAGCUCAGAGGCGAGGGAUGCGAGUCUCAUUAGCCCUACACUGGGGGUUCAAACAGCAUCAUUGUACAGCAUUCGUGCAUACUUGUAUAAUUUUUUUCUCCAUGCAGUUGUAUGGAGAUUUUUGUUUUUUUUUGUUUUUAUAUAAACCAAUGUAGUAAUGGUCCAUUCCAGAUCAGGAAAAUGGUAUCACAAUAAUAUGUCUCUGUUUAUAUUGUUUCUGUUUUUAUAGCUAAUAAAACAGAUUCUACAGACAAAACCAGGUGGAGCUAAUGUGCUUAAGGAGUAUGAGGAAAAAUUGACAAUUAGUGGUGACACGAGAAAAGUGAUGGUGAACAUCUUGGUUGCACACAUGAUUGAGACAGAAGGGUACAUUUUCAAAUAUAAUUCAAAGUCUUGGGAUGUUGAAAUGCAAUUUCUCUCUUUUUUGAGAAUUAACAUUGAGCUUUCCCAGUGCACAAGAGAAUCCCACAUCGACUUACCUACUUACCAAGCAGAAGUAUGCACUGGGAAUAAUCACUUUGUUUCCCUCACUCAGAGAUCCUCAAGGGAGGACUGGAUUUGAAAAUUUUUUAUGAUGGCCAGAAAAACACUGGAUUCUUGUCAUGGCACCUAAAGACAGUUCAAAGGGGAACAAAACCCCAAAACCAUGCGAGUAAGGAUGAUCCAAGAACAGAGGAAACAGGUGGUCCGUUGCUUGGAAGACAGACGUGUUACCAUGAUGAUCGAAGACUAGAGGCCAUCUCUUUGAUGAACCAUACAAGUGACAGAGAAGUCAUCAUACAGAAGAUGUGAGCAACUUUUGAAUACAGACAGCGCCUUGUCCAUGAUCCAGAGAAAUCCUCAACCAUUUUCUCAGGGAACUAAGGGAUUGGUAAUAUUUUGUCAUCCUUUUUUCUUAAACCACAAUAUUUUAAACCGCUAUUUUCAAAGAACUGUCAAAUAGGGCAGGGGGAUAUGACAGAAUAAUCAUAUAUCGACGAUAUCUCACAAGUGCCCUGAUGUCAACUGCAACAGUGAGUUAACAGACGGUUGUGUCUAUUUUCACUACACACACCGUUUGCCGUGGCAGUUAUUAUAGCCAUAGCCCUAUUCGGACAGCAAUUGUUUUACAUGGGGACGUGAGGUAAUUUCAGCAUUUACAGGGGCUAGUAGUCUGUGAUUUUAUUCCCGUCUGAAUCCAAAAUUUCGCCAUCUGCCAGAGAAUUGUUUUCUAACAUGUCAUUGCAUUGAAUGAUUUAUGGCUGUUCAUAUAUGUUUUCUGCAAACUGCUUCAGAUUCUUCAGGACUUCACGCUCCUCUUUGGGUCUGAAACUGCUUCCAGACUUUUGGAAAAGUGGCAAACUGGUUUCAAAGCAAAAGUUAUCAGACAAGCAGAAACCUUGACUUCCACUGCUUUGCUGAAAAGAACAUACAGAGCAGCGAGCCACAGGAAUCACCAGGUAGAGUUGUACAGUUGCAAUUUGCAGUGCCUGUGCAGUUGGGUUUGUCAAGAUGGCCUCAUAAAGAAGAACUGAUUCUGACAGAAUCUGGGUUCUGGUCUGACUGUUUAUUGAUAUAAUGCUGACAGAUUCAGAGCCAUUUGCAUUCAUUCGGCAGUAUUAGGGAUGUACUGCUAUGUUUCAUGUGAUACUUUGUUUUUUAUAUAAACUCAGCAAAAAAAAGAAACGUCCCUUUUUCAGGACACUGUAUUUUAAAGAUAAUUUUGUAAAAAUCCAAAUAACUUUACAGAUCUUUAUUGUAAAGGGUUUAAACAAUGUUUUCCAUGCUUGUUCAGUGAACCUUAAACAAUUAAUGAACAUGCACCUGUGGAACGGUCGUUAAGACACUAAUAGCUUACAGACAGGAGGCAAUUAAGGUCACAGUUAUAAAAACUUAGGACACUAAAGAGACCUUUCUACUGACUCUGAAAAACACCAAAAGAAAGAUGCCCAGGAUCCCUGCUCCUCUGCGUGAACAUGCCUAAGACAUGCUGCAUGGAGGCAUGAGGACUGCAGAUGUGGCCAGGGCAAUAAAUUGCAAUGUCCGUACUGUGAGAUGCCUAAGACAGCGCUACAGGGAGACAGGAAGGACAGCUGAUCAUCCUUGCAGUGGCAGACCACAUGUAACAACACCUGCACAGGAUCAGUACAUCCAAAUUUCACACCUGCAAGACAGGUACAGGAUGGCAACAACAACUGCCCGAGUUAUACCAGGAAUGCACAAUCCCUCCAUCAGUGCUCACACUGUCCGCAAAAGGCUGAGAGAGGCUGGACUGAGUGCUUGUAGGCAUGUUGUAAGGCAGGUCCUUACCAGACAUUACCAGCAACACCGUCUCCUAUGGGCACAAACCCACCUUAGCUGGACCAGACAGGACUGGCAAAAAGUGCUCUUCAAUGAUGAGUCAUGGUUUUGUCUCACCAGGGGUGAUGGUCGGACUUACGUUUAUCGUUGAAGGAAUGAGCGUUACACCGAGGCCUGUACUCUGGAGUGGGAUUGAUUUGGAGGUGGAGGGUCCAUACUGCAGUACUUAAUGCAGCUGGUGGCCAUACCAGAAUGGGACAGUGACAUGUCAUCCUUCCUUUUACUUCUGCAUCUCUUAUCACCCCAGGCUUCAGGAAGAAAGAAAACCCAGAAGAUCAGCAUUGUUCAGGCUAUUGAUCAUCUGGUCGUAUUUCAUAAUUCAUGCCGGAGUCUUCAGGAACACACUGAGACUGAAGAGAAUCGUCAACCGUAUCUUCUCACCUCAGGGACCAGCAAGGACGCCAUCAGUCAGUUCUUCAUUGUGGUUGAUUAAAAGCUUAUCCCCUGUCAAGCAUCC